GACGUAGGAUGCAAGCGUUGUCCGGAUUUAUUGGGCGUAAAGAGUUCGUAGGUGGUUCGUUAAGUCUGAUGUUAAAGAUCGGGGCUCAACCUCGGGAGUGCAUUGGAUACUGGCGGACUUGAGUGUGGUAGAGGCAAUCGGAAUUCCAGGUGUAGCGGUGAAAUGCGUAGAUAUCUGGAAGAACACCGGUGGCGCAAGCGGAUUGCUGGGCCAUAACUGACACUGAGGAACGAAAGCCAAGGGAGCAAACAGG
rnacentral:rRNA from 1 species